rnacentral:snoRNA from 1 species
AAAUACCAUCUUUGGUGCAAUAUUAAAACAGCCAUGAGUCUUUUGUGCCCAGUGUGUAAAGAAACUCUGAGUUAUAACUCAAAGGCACAACU